UACGUAGGGACCAAGCGUUGUUCGGAUUUACUGGGCGUAAAGGGCGCGUAGGUGGGCAUGUAAGUCAGUGGUGAAAUCUCCGGGCUUAACCCGGAAACUGCCAUUGAUACUAUUUGUCUUGAAUACUGUGGAGGUCAGCGGAAUAUGUCAUGUAGCGGUGAAAUGCUUAGAUAUGACAUAGAACACCAAUUGCGAAGGCAGCUGGCUACACAAAUAUUGACACUGAGGCACGAAAGCGUGGGGAUCAAACAGG
rnacentral:rRNA from 1 species